GAAGUGAUUCAUGCGGUCAUAUGCCGUUGCUAAUUCCCGGUUUUGGUUACGAUCGGGACCAGUGUUCAGCUCGGAGUAGUGGCUGUGCAGCCUUUCAGCCGUGUCUGUGUUAAAUGGGUGCUGGUGGGUUGACGAGUUCGUCUUGCUGACCUGUUGGCAUGCUUCCGAAUGCCUUUAAACGGGUGUCGGGAGCGGACGGCAUCUUCACUUUGAACAAAUUUGAGUGCUCAAAGCAGGCCUGUGUGUCUGAAAAGUCUUGCAUGGAAUAAUGAAAUAGAACUUCGGUUCCAUUUUGUCGAUUUUCGGAUUCGAAGUAAUGGUUAAGAGAGACAGACCGGGGUAUUUUAUGGUGGUGUUAGAGGUAAAAUUCUAGGAUAGCCGCCAGACAAACUACAGCGAAAGCAUUUGCCAAGAAUGUUUUCAUUGAUCAGGAGCGAAAGUCAGAGUUUCGAAGACGAUCAGAAACCAUCGUAGUUCUGACCAUAAACAAUGCCAACUGACGAUCCGUGUUGGUUUUAUAAUUGACAUCGCGGGAAGUCCCCGGAAAACCUCCAAAUCUUUGGGCUCCGGGGUGAGUAUGGUUGCAAAGCUGAAACUUAAAGGGAUUAGCGGAAGGGCACCACCAGGAGUGGAGCCUGAGGUUUAGGUCUACUCAACACGGGAAAACUCACCCGACCCAUACACUGUGAGGAUUGACAGAUUGAUAGCUGUUUGUUGAUUUGGUGAGUGGUGGUGCAUGGCCGUUCUUAGUUAGUGGAACGAUUUGUAUGGUUGAUUUUGAUAACGAAAGAGACUUUAACCUGCUAAAUAGUAUACUGGUCCUCUGUGCUCGUUUAGGGCGUGGCUUCUGUUGCUUCUUUAUGGAGUAGUGUGGUCGUGAUUUAGCGGGUUCUGUGUCAGCUCUUACUUCUUAGAGUGACAAGCGACACACUUCAGUCGCACGAAAUUGAGCAAUAACAGGUCUGUGAUGCCCUUAGAUAUCCAGAGCCACACAUGCGCUACAAUGACGGGGCCAGUGAGUUUGGAAACAUGGCCCGAAAGGGUUGGGCAAAUUGUUUCAUCACUGUCGUGACUGGUAUCGGGGCUUGUAAUUAUUCCCCGCGAAUGAGGAAUUCCUGAUAAGUGCAAGUCAUAAGCUUGCGCUGAUUACGUCCCUGCCCUUUUUACACACCGCCUGUCGCUACUACCGAUUGAAUGGUUUAGUGAGGUCGUUGGAUUGGCGUCGUUGUAGUGGUUUUGCCGCUCGACUAAUGCUGAGGAGAUGACCUGAUUUGACUUUUUAGAGGAAGUAAAAGUCGUAACAAGGUUUCCGUAGGUGAACCUGAGGAAGGAUCAUUA
rnacentral:ncRNA from 1 species